rnacentral:rRNA from 1 species
AUAUUUUAGACCUCAAAUCAGUCAGGACUACCCGCUGAACUUAAGCAUAUCAAUAAGCGGAGGAAAAGAAACUAACAAGGAUUCCCCUAGUAACGGCGAGUGAAGUGGGAAAAGCUCAACUUUGAAAUCUGGUACUUUCAGUAUCCGAAUUGUAGUCUCAAGAAGUGUUUUCUGUGCUGGUCCAUGUAUGAGUCUGUUGGAACACAGCGUCAUAGAGGGUGACAACCCCGUUCAUGACAUGGAUACCAGUGCUUUGUGAUACACUCUCGAAGAGUCGAGUUGUUUGGGAAUGCAGCUCAAAUUGGGUGGUAAAUUCCAUCUAAAGCUAAAUAUUGGCGAGAGACCGAUAGCAAACAAGUACCGUGAGGGAAAGAUGAAAAGCACUUUGGAAAGAGAGUUAACAGUACGUGAAAUUGUUGAAAGGGAAACGAUUGAAGUCAGACGUGCGUGAUGCGGUUCAGCUCUGGUUCGCCAGAGUGUACUCCGUAUCUUUGCAGGCCAACAUCGGUUUUGUUAGUCGGAUAAAGGUUUGAGAAAUGUGGCAUCUUCGGAUGUGUUAUAGUCUCAGACUGAAUACGAUUGAUGGGACCGAGGAACGCAGCGCGCCGCAAGGCAAAGGUUCCGACCUUUUCGCGCUUAGG